rnacentral:rRNA from 1 species
GACGAACGCUGGCGGCGUGCUUAACACAUGCAAGUCGAACGGUGAAGCGCCUUCCUUUUUGGUGGGUGUGGAUGAGUGGCGAACGGGUGAGUAACACGUGAGUAACCUGCCCCCUUCUUCUGGAUAACCGCAUGAAAGUGUGGCUAAUACGGGAUAUUCUGGGUCUGUCGCAUGAUGGGUCUGGGAAAGAUAUUGUUUCGGUGGGGGAUGGGCUCGCGGCCUAUCAGCUUGUUGGUGGGGUGAUGGCCUACCAAGGCGGUGACGGGUAGCCGGCCUGAGAGGGUGGGCGGUAACAGUGGGACUGAGACACGGCGCAGACUACUACGGGAGGCAGCAGUGAGGAAUAGUGCACAAUGGGCGCAAGCCUGAUGCAGCGACGCCGCGUGAGGGAUGGAGGCCUGCGGGUUGUGAACCUCUUUCGCCAGUGAAGCAGGCCUGCCUAGUUUGUGGGUGGGUUGACGGUAGCUGGAGAAGAAGCGCCGGCUAACUACGUG